AGUGAACGCUGGCGGUAGGCCUAACACAUGCAAGUUGAACGGCAGCACAGUAAGAGCUUGCUCUUACGGGUGGCGAGUGGCGGACGGGUGAGGAAUACAUCGGAAUCUACUUUUUCGUGGGGGAUAACGUAGGGAAACUUACGCUAAUACCGCAUACGACCUACGGGUGAAAGCAGGGGAUCUUCGGACCUUGCGCAAUUGAAUGAGCCGAUGUCGGAUUAGCUAGUUGGCGGGGUAAAGGCCCACCAAGGCGACGAUCCGUAGCUGGUCUGAGAGGAUGAUCAGCCACACUGGAACUGAGACACGGUCCAGACUCCUACGGGAGGCAGCAGUGGGGAAUAUUGGACAAUGGGCGCAAGCCUGAUCCAGCCAUACCGCGUGGGUGAAGAAGGCCUUCGGGUUGUAAAGCCCUUUUGUUGGGAAAGAAAAGCAGCAGGUUAAUACCCCGCUGUUCUGACGGUACCCAAAGAAUAAGCACCGGCUAACUUCGUG
rnacentral:rRNA from 1 species